UGAGCGUGGUGGAAAGUUUCUGCAACGCGAUGGUGCCGAAGGGUGUAAGAAGAAGAGCGCCGCCCGGCAGGUCAGCGAGGGUAAUGGGAACCAUAUGAAGUCAUGCUGCUGCUUUUGUCCUGCAAAUUAGAUGUGAAUGAAUCAGGGUCCCAUGUGCUCUGGAGGAGCUGUAAUAGAAACCACAGAUGCAUCAACUGAUAAAACAAAUGAGAAUUUAGAACCUGAAGAAGGCACCUCAAGUAAACAAAUAUCUUC